UACGAAGGGGGCUAGCGUUGCUCGGAAUCACUGGGCGUAAAGCGCACGUAGGCGGACUCUUAAGUCGGUGGUGAAAUCCUGGAGCUCAACUCCAGAACUGCCUCGAUACUGGGAGUCUCGAGUCCGGGAGAGGUGAGUGGAACUGCGGAGUGUAGAGGUGAAAUUCGUAGAUAUUCGCAAGAACACCAGUGGCGAAGGCGGCUCACUGGCCCGGUACUGACGCUGAGGUGCGAAAGCGUGGGGAGCAAACAGG
rnacentral:rRNA from 1 species